GUACAGACAUCUGCUACAACUUCCUUGGAUGAAACCACCUCUGCCUUAGAGGAAACUUUGUCAACUUUUAUUUCAUGGAACUCUGGCAGUGUUAAAUCUGCCAAUGAUUCCUGAUUCAGGGGUUCAUACCUGACCUGAGGAUGGAAGAUGAAGUAUUUCCCAGGGCUUGUGGGAAAGGUAUUCUUGUUCUUCUCAGAAGUUGCCUAAGAGGAUAUAAGGUCUGGAGUUGCCAGAAAUGUUUUUACUAGGAGGAAACAGACUUUCUAGUAACAGGGGGGAGAGGGAGAAAGGGGAGGAAACCAAUGCUAUGGGACUGUUACUCCUUGACUCAGCUCACUCGAAGCCAGCUAUAAAUCUGUACUCCUUCCCUACUUUUAAAAGAUGACAGGAAUUCCAUCUUAUGGGUUUGUAAGUACCAUCAGCUGGGCUGUAGUGGCAACCCCCCCCCCCCACCACCCAUCAAAGAAUCUUAAUUAAGCUUCUCCAGAGACCUAAUCAUGGUUAUUAACAGAAUAUCAGCAAACAUUUCUGAAGAAAAACUCAAUGUGGGAUAGGACUUCCUAUUUUUUUGUGAAGACCAAUUUGCUCUUGCAAAAGCUACGUUUGGCUAAUCAUGAUGACUUG
rnacentral:lncRNA from 1 species